GAUGAAGAACGCAGCGAAAUGCGAUAAGUAAUGUGAAUUGCAGAAUUCAGUGAAUCAUCGAAUCUUUGAACGCACAUUGCGCCCCUUGGUAUUCCGAGGGGCAUGCCUGUUCGAGCGUCAUUACACCACUCAAGCUAUGCUUGGUAUUGGGCGUCGUCCUUAGUUGGGCGCGCCUUAAAGACCUCGGUGAGGCCACUCCGGCUUUAGGCGUAGUAGAAUUUAUUCGAACGUCUGUCAAAGGAGAGGAACUCUGCCGACUGAAACCUUUAUUUUUCUAGGUUGACCUCGGAUCAGGUAGGGAUACCCGCUGAACUUAAGCAUAUCAAUAAGCGGAGGA
rnacentral:misc_RNA from 1 species